AUUGAACGCUGGCGGCAUGCCUUACACAUGCAAGUCGAACGGUAACGGGCCUUCGGGUGCCGACGAGUGGCGAACGGGUGAGUAAUGUAUCGGAACGUACCUUUCAGUGGGGGAUAACGUAGCGAAAGUUACGCUAAUACCGCAUAUUCUGUGCGCAGGAAAGCAGGGGAUCGCAAGACCUCGCGCGGAUGGAUGAGCCGAUGUCGGAUUAGCUAGUUGGUGGGGUAAAGGCCUACCAAGGCGACGAUCCGUAGCUGGUCUGAGAGGAUGAUCAGCCACACUGGGACUGAGACACGGCCCAGACUCCUACGGGAGGCAGCAGUGGGGAAUAUUGGACAAUGGGCGAAAGCCUGAUCCAGCAAUGCCGCGUGAGUGAUGAAGGCCUUAGGGUUGUAAAGCUCUUUUACCAGGGAUGAUAAUGACAGUACC
rnacentral:rRNA from 1 species